GUGGUCCCUGGGAAGUCCAGCAUGAUAUGUGGCCGUGGGAAGAAGCCUCACAGCUGCCCGGUGGCGUGAGGGGUACAGAGGGGUGGGGGCGACCCGUCAGCCAAGGCCUUGGCCAGGCGUGGCGCUGGUGGCCCCUGUCUGUUGUGGGCUGAAGUGGACCCCCGGGGACUGCUGCAGGGCGGUGCUGCCUUCUGGAUGCCUCACACCUGCCCUACUCAUCCCCUGCGAGGCCUGCUCUGAUGGGGAGCCACCCCAGGCCCAAUGUACACCCAGCAUGCCUGCCACCUUGGCGGUGCCGCCUAGCCCUUGCCAUGGGAGGGGACUGUGGACUGUGCUCACUGGAUCCCCUCUGCCUCCCGCCCCUGCAGUCAAGAGAAGGGCUGGAGGUACCAGAUGUCCCUGCGCCCUGGAGGACCCCGACAGUGGCAGGGGAGGUCGAGGGCCGUGUGAGCAGCCUUUGGGCUGCAGUCCUGCAGGUCUGAGUGCCUGUGGCCAGGAGCUGUCCUGAACUGUGGUACGGUGUUUCAGGCACCCCAGGCAUGUUCCUUGGUGGGUCCAGGGGAACUUCUCUGUGUCUCCGAGACUUUCUGAGACACGUGGGAGCUGCUCGUCCAUCUCUAGAUGCUGAUUCUGUAGAGUCGGGAGGGCCCACUGUGUUGACUGGGCUGUUACUCUGCGAGGUGCACCUGCUUGGAGUGCUGGCCGGCCUCUUGCCGACCCCUCUACCCUUAGAUGAAGCACCAUCCAGCCGUGAUGGACUUGUUUCCAGUUUUGGCACUGAUGGAAGGGCUGACCCAGGCUCUCCUGCCCAUCGGGGAAACACCAGGGUGCAAGAACCCCUUGCAAGGACCACUGCUAUCUGUCUCGUUGCUCUGUCCCUUGAGUCACCCUGCAGUGGAACUGCCUCCUCCCAGGAACGGCCAGACCGAAAGGUCAGGAACCUUGUCGGCUGCUGUCCAUUUUGGUUUACGUGGUGCUCAGUCUGGACAUGCUGACGUGCACCCUCUGGCUGUCAGACAGCCCUUGUGUGCGCUCCUGCUCGUCACUGUGGCCUCUGGGCGGGAGCAGAGUUAGGACCUUCUGUUUGCUUCUGAUGUCCCCAGGGUCUAGGCCAGCCGACUCUGGCUGUGACUCAGCCUUUGCAGGUGGGAUCGUGAUGUCCUGGGUGGGCACGGCCAUGGCGGCUCUUCUUCCUCCAGAUGCCCUUCCCCCUGUGGGGCACAGGUGGGACCUUUAGCCCGGUAAGGCCCACUUUAUCAAGUGGUAGGAGGUGUAGGCUUGUACCCCCACUCCCCAGGCACACGGACAUCAUUUCUUCAUCUGCCUGGGGUUUGAGGGUUUGAUAUUUAUUUUUACCAUUACACAGGUGUCCUCUUACAGCUAAAGGGCAGAAGGCCCAAACUCAGUGUCCCCGUUGUGUCUUCCCCACUUGGCAUUGGGCAGGGGCUUCCUGUGGUUCACAGCUUAUCCUCUGUUGACUCCAUGUUUCUCAGUCACCUCCAGGCCUGCCCAAGCCUGUGUGUCUCAGGUCUGGAUAAAUCGACCCUUCAUGCUGACCACUGUGACUGUGGGACUGUUUACCCUGAGCUGAUGGACAGUUCUGAUCUCACUUCCUGUCUGCUCUAGGUCCUGCAUGCUGACAGGUCCCACGUUCUGGCCUCACUUCCUGUCU